UACGUAGGGUGCGAGCGUUAAUCGGAAUGAUUGGGCGUAAAGGGUGCGCAGGCGGUCUGCCAAGACGGGUGUGAAAUCCCCGGGCUUAACCUGGGAACGGCACUCGUGACUGGCAGACUAGAAUACGGCAGAGGGAGGUGGAAUUCCACAUGUAGCAGUGAAAUGCGUAGAGAUGUGGAGGAACACCGAUGGCGAAGGCAGCCUCCUGGGUCGAUAUUGACGCUCAGGCACGAAAGCGUGGGGAGCAAACAGG
rnacentral:rRNA from 2 species